AUGGGAGACCUAGAACAGUACAAUGGAAAGAUGACAACGACCAUCGGGGGAAUGAGGGGAAGGGCAAGGGAAUUGCCCUCUGGAGGAUGGUCGCCUGCUCUGAUGGGUGAUGGACGUGGUGAGGCCAAGAGAUGUCUUUCUGCAAAGGUGCUGCUAGGUUCAAGGAGUCCAGAUUGCCCAAGGACAGCCCGCCCCCGGGGCACAAGCCUGACACUGCCAUCUGUGCCAUUGGCAUUGGAAAACACAAGCCUCUCAUGCUUGGGGCUUAUGCCCAGCAGAACUUCACACCCAAAAUGUUUUCUAAGGGAUCGGUAGAUUCCAGUUAUUUUGUGUUCAAUGCACUUUAAACAAACAAACAAAAAUGAAAAACUCCAGACUGUUUAAAAUACACAGGUGACAGGGAAGGGGAGGGAAAGAGAAGAGAAAUGAGUGCUCAUGUCUGAACCCAGUUCAGUUUAUCUCCAGUUCAAACAAUAUAUACACUAUAUUAUGUAUAAAUAUGUACACACUUCCUCUAUAGGCCCACAUAUAUAGUGUGUAUAUGUUGCACAUACAUACGUGUUUUAUUCGUGCAUAUAUAUGUCUGUAUGCACAUUUCAGACCCAGAUACUACACAAACAGCAGUAGAGGAAACGAGGUUGGACUCUUGAAACAGAUCACAAAAAAAAAAAACAGCCGCUUGCAGUGACUUUGGUCAUUUCUGUAUGUUCACAAGGAAUGGAUUGUAAUGGAAAAAAGGAAAAAAAAAAGGAACAGCAUUAUGGAAAGAAUGGGCGAAACCAUCUUGGUCCAAUGGGAAUGCAGUAAAGUUCUACACCAUUUCAUCAGUUCUCAUUCUGUCAUUUUUGCUUUCAUUUUUUAAAAAUGGUUAUUUAAAGUGAAAAAAAUGAAAGGUUAACCUAGAUGAACCACAACAAACAAAAAAACCAACUACAGUGAAAGCCGUUAUCUAUGGAAGAUGUCAGAAAUCUCAAAACUCUUGGCCUGGCUCAGAACUACCACGUGCAGCCCAAUACUCUUUUAAUGUUUGAAAUGAAAAGUGAAAAAAAAAUACUUUUUGAAGCACCUUAACGUGGCCAUCCAUUCCAGGAGUGGGUGCCACAUUUUUCUUUGAGCACCUUACUGACGUGUUAUGCUAUCUGCUGUCUUUCUGUUACCUGUUGGCUGAGUGGCUGGCUCUUUACAUAUACAUGCUCGGCCAAAGGGCCGGGCAUGUGUGUCCAUCAUGAAGUUUACUGUGGUAACUGCUGAAAGGUGAACCUGUUUCCUGAUUUUCCCCACCACUGCAUUGUGAUAGGAUUCGGAGAAACCCCAUUCCUUGCACAGAAAUGUUUCUUAUCACACUGUAUCUUAUUAUGGAAAGGAAUAUGGUCCCUUUUUUAGCAAUUGCUACCGUACACACAUACACACACACACACACACACACACACACACACACACCACCCCAUUAUGUACACUGAGACCCAUUUGUAUGUCUUGUGCAAAACAGAAAAUUGUUUUGCGCCCAUCCACCUUCACAUACACAUCCCAGUGGUAUAUUCAGUGUCCAUGUGGCUAUCAGUGUUUCUGCAGUUUCCAUUCCCAGAGCAUUUUUCGAACUGAGGGCAAUUAUUCUGACCAGCUUCUGUCUUUUCAGGCAGGAGAUGGAAUUGACUUUUGGAGAAGAAUCAAGAGAGAGCUUUAGCCCCAAGAGCUUUUGAAAUGAACUUCAAUGGCCUUCUCAGGUCAUUAUGUCCAGUCAAGAGAAGGGAAGGAAGGGAAGGAAGACUGCUUUUUCCAGUCCAUGUACUGGUGUAGGUACAUACACAUGUACACAAACAACACACACAUCCAUCCAUAAAUAUGUACGUGGUUUGGGAUGAGAAGGUCAAUAGUUUUGAGGGGGAGUUUGUUCCUUUUUUUCUCUCAUUAUACUCUUAAAUGGUUGUCAGUUAUCAAAACAAACAAACAAACAGCAAAUUUUUUUUUAAAAAAACCUUGCAUACGCCUUUUCUAUCAAGUGCUUUAAAAUAUAGAAUAAAUACACACAUCCUGCCA
ensembl:lncRNA